ACUUCACCAUAAAUUUUGGCUGAAUGAUGUAAUCUUCCUGCAAUAGCCCGCAACAAUGUGGAUUUCCCUGACUUUGCAGGACCCAUGAUUACUGUCAUCGUCCCUGGCAGUGCAUAACCACUUGAGCUCUUUACAACUUUAUCAGAGUACUUCCUUUUACCCUUGAUUGUAACAGUCAAGUCUUUCCAGACAACGGAAGAUCCCGCAAUCUUUCUCGCAACAACUGCAUUCUCUGGUAAUGGCGGUGAUGGCAAUGACCCACUAUUAAGCUUUGAUAGACAUGGGGACGCUGGUGUUGCAGCAACAUUGAUAGUGUCACCUCCUUCCUCCACCCUAACAUCGACAUCUGUAUCCUCCCAUUCUGGUGAAUCCUCAAAUGAGAUUGGUUGUCUAAGUGAACCAGGCUUCCGCAAGUAAAAAAAGUUACUUGAAGGCACCCUGCUUGCAGGACUACUGGCUGAAGACGAAGAAGAUCUAUAAUUAUCUGAUUGAGACUGUAUCUCCUCCAUCUUCUACUCUCAACUUUUUGAGACCUCAAACUGUCAAAAGCAACAUUGCACAACUGAAGGGAUGCUUAACCUGCUUUUCCAACUUAAAAGUCUUCAGCACUAUUAUUCACACAUUCCAACUAAAAAGUGACUGUCAGUUAUCA
rnacentral:misc_RNA from 1 species